AAAGGCCCCCGCGCGGAGUGCCCGCCCCCCUCGGCGGACCGACCAAUGGGAUCGCGGAGCAGGAGGGGCGGCCGCGGACCCGGAGCCGCCAUGAUGGCGCCGGCGCGAUGGUGGAGCUGCGGGGUUCCGUGCGGCGAAAGCGGUGCUCCGCCGCCCCACGUCGCCGCCGCCACCUGCCCCGUGCCUCGGGGAUGCCGGACGGUCAGGGGAGGGCGGCGCAGGGGCACCGCCGUCGGCCCCGUCCGUCCCCCAUCAGAAUCCAGUCUGUCCUCCGGAGAGGGAACUGAGCCGUCCUCCGUCAUUGCAGUGGGGCACUGCUGGGCUGUGAGAAGCGGCGGCUGACCACAAGCAGCGGGACCCGCCCGGCCUCCGGGAGCAGCUCCUGGCUGAGCCGAGCAGCCCCGAAAGAGAGGGACUGAUCCCGCGGGUCGAGACGUGUUCAAGCCUGGCAGAGAGUCAGGCGGGCGCCUUCGGUUCUUGCUUGGCUCAAAUCGGCAGCAGCGCGUGCUGAGCUCCUGCCCCGCAGGUGGAGUCCCCAACUCCCGUUUUCCUUAUCCCGGUCUGUCCCCGUGCGGAGCUCCCGGAGCUGCGUGAAGCCGACACGGAGCCGCUUCGUGUUGGCCCCGAGGAGGGGAGCUGUGAGGGGGGAGCGAUUGUUAGGAUGGAAACUGGUUGGGAAUAUGGACAUUUCUCUGCUUAUUGCUCUUUAUGUGAAAUGAUUAAAUGUUCUGCAGCUCCAAAGACCCUCCCACUCCAACCCCCCCUUUCCCUGUGCCCACCUCUGGGUAAGGACGGGGCAGCACCAAUGGCAGCGUCAUAGGACUGCAACCACCAGCCCCAUCCUUCCCCCCCACAUCCCCUCCCCUCCUCAGCGCUGCGUGGGAAAUGGUUGGGGUAGGGAUUCUGGGAGAGCUGGGGCGGCUUGGCCUGCAGAAGAGGAGGCUCAGGGGGAUCCCAGGCACGGCCAUCAGCCCCUGCAGGGAGGUGCAGAGAGGACGGAGCCGGGCUGCACCCAGCGGUGCCCAGCAGCAGGACCAGAGGCACUGGGCACACGCUGCAGCACAGCAGGUUUCCCUGUAUGACACCUCUGAGCCCCCACAUUGGGUCAGUGUCAUUGGCUAUUUUUGCCAAUGGUCACGAUGCAAGAGUUGAGUGCAUCCUUGUGACAUCCACCGGGCAUCCUAAGGCACGAGGUGCUGCUGGCACUCCUGAGGUUUUUAAGGGGCAGCAGGGAGAACCGGAGGGCUCAGGGCAGUAGCUGGGGGC
rnacentral:lncRNA from 1 species